rnacentral:rRNA from 5 species
UUGACCUCGAAUCAGGUAGGGAUACCCGCUGAACUUAAGCAUAU